rnacentral:rRNA from 1 species
UGCAGUCGAACGCUUUAAUUUCACCGGGUGCUUGCACCCAUCGNAGUUAAGGAGUGGNGGACGGGUGAGUAACACGUGGGUAACCUGCCCAUAAGAGGGGGAUAACAUUCGGAAACGGAUGCUAAUACCGCAUAUUUCUAAUCGUCUCCUGACGAAUGGAAGAAAGGUGGCUUCGGCUACCGCUUAUGGAUGGACCCGCGGCGUAUUAGCUAGUUGGUGAGGUAAUGGCUCACCAAGGCGAUGAUACGUAGCCGACCUGAGAGGGUGAUCGGCCACACUGGGACUGAGACACGGCCCAGACUCCUACGGGAGGCAGCAGUAGGGAAUCUUCCGCAAUGGACGAAAGUCUGACGGAGCAAUGCCGCGUGAGUGAAGAAGGUUUUCGGAUCGUAAAACUCUGUUGUUAGAGAAGAACAAGGAUGAGAGUAACUGCUCAUCCCCUGACGGUAUCUAACCAGAAAGCCACGGCUAACUACGUGCCAGCAGCCGCGGUAAUACGUAGGUGGCAAGCGUUGUCCGGAUUUAUUGGGCGUAAAGCGAGCGCAGGCGGUUCUUUAAGUCUGAUGUGAAAGCCCCCGGCUCAACCGGGGAGGGUCAUUGGAAACUGGAGAACUUGAGUGCAGAAGAGGAGAGUGGAAUUCCACGUGUAGCGGUGAAAUGCGUAGAUAUGUGGAGGAACACCAGUGGCGA